rnacentral:rRNA from 1 species
UGGGGAAUUUUGGACAAUGGGCGAAAGCCUGAUCCAGCAAUGCCGCGUGUGUGAAGAAGGCCUUCGGGUUGUAAAGCACUUUUGUCCGGAAGGAAAUCCUUGGCUCUAAUACAGUCGGGGGAUGACGGUACCGGAAGAAUAAGCACCGGCUAACUACGUGCCAGCAGCCGCGGUAAUACGUAGGGUGCAAGCGUUAAUCGGAAUUACUGGGCGUAAAGCGUGCGCAGGCGGUUUGCUAAGACCGAUGUGAAAUCCCCGGGCUCAACCUGGGGAACUGCAUUGGUGACUGGCAGGCUAGAGUAUGGCAGAGGGGGGUAGAAUUCCACGUGUAGCAGUGAAAUGCGUAGAGAUGUGGAGGAAUACCGAUGGCGAAGGCAGCCCCCUGGGCCAAUACUGACGCUCAUGCACGAAAGCGUGGGGAGCAAACAGGAUUAGAUACCCUGGUAGUCCACGCCCUAAACGAUGUCAACUAGUUGUUGGGGAUUCAUUUCCUAGUAACGUAGCUAACGCGUGAAGUUGACCGCCUGGGGAGUACGGUCGCAAGAUUAAAACUCAAAUGAAUUGACGGGGUCAUAGCUGUUUCCU